rnacentral:rRNA from 1 species
AUUGAACGCUGGCGGCAUGCUUUACACAUGCAAGUCGAACGGCAGCGCGGGCUUCGGCCUGGCGGCGAGUGGCGAACGGGUGAGUAAUGCAUCGGAACGUGCCCAGUAGUGGGGGAUAGCCCGGCGAAAGCCGGAUUAAUACCGCAUACGACCUGAUGGUGAAAGCGGGGGACCGAAAGGCCUCGCGCUAUUGGAUCUGCCGAUGUCGGAUUAGCUAGUUGGUGGGGUAAAGGCUUACCAAGGCGACGAUCCGUAGCUGGUCUGAGAGGACGACCAGCCACACUGGGACUGAGACACGGCCCAGACUCCUACGGGAGGCAGCAGUGGGGAAUUUUGGACAAUGGGGGAAAGCCUGAUCCAGCCAUGCCGCGUGAGGGAAGAAGGCCUUCGGGUUGUAAACCGCUUUUGUUCGGGAAGAAAACCUCUGGGCUAAUACCUCGGGGGGAUGACGGUACCGGAAGAAUAAGCACCGGCUAACUACGUG